AUGAUCGCUACCACGACAACGAGCAAGUUCAUGCAGCAAAUGGAGCAGGACCAGGUAACAGGCAAGGUUCUACUCCACGCUCAGAGUAGGGGUGGCCUUUAUCCCCUACAGUCCAAGCCAUUGAUUCAUGGACGGCAAGCUUUUUCAGCAAGCAAACCAUCUUCCUCUCGGUGGCAUAGGCGUCUAGGACAUCCCUCAUAUGUGGUGGUCGACAAAGUUCUUAAGGAAAAUCGUCUCCCUUUCUCCAGUAAAAACAAUGAGUCAGUUUGUGAUGCCUGUCAAAAGGCGAAAAGCCAUCAGCUUCCGUAUCCUAGUUCAACGAGUGUGUCUAGUGCUCCUUUAGAGCUUAUUUUCUCCGAUGUAUGGGGUCCUGCUACACCUUCAGUGAGCAGAAAUAAAUAUUAUGUAAGCUUUGUUGAUGAUUUCAGUAAGUUUACUUGGAUUUAUGUGCUCAAAAAUAGAUCUGAGGUGUUUCAGAAAUUUCAUGAUUUUCAGCACCAUGUAGAACGUCUAUUUGAUAAAAAAAUCCUUGCUGUGCAAACUGACUGGGGGGGGUGA
rnacentral:rRNA from 1 species